rnacentral:rRNA from 1 species
CAAUAGCGUAUAUUAAAGUUGUUGCAGUUAAAAAGCUCGUAGUUGGAUUUGUGGCGUACGGUGUGUUCCGGGCACUUGUUGUCUGAGUAACCUGCUGUUGCCAUCCUUGGGUGGAACCUGUGUGGCAUUAGGUUGUCGUGCAGGGGAUGCCCAUCAUUUACUGUGAAAAAAUUAGAGUGUUCAAAGCAGGCUUAUGCCGUUGAAUAUAUUAGCAUGGAAUAAUGAGAUAGGACUUUUUUGCUAUUUUGUUGGUUUGCGCAAAGAAGUAAUGAUUAAUAGGGACAGUUGGGGGUAUUCGUAUUCCAUUGUCAGAGGUGAAAUUCUUGGAUUUUUGGAAGACGAACUACUGCGAAAGCAUUUACCAAGGAUGUUUUCAUUAA